CACCCGGGAACAUUUUUCUGGAGCCACGUGCUGUGUACAUCAUUUCGAGAUCCCGUGCAUGGCCAGUCGAACCUGCAAUGAGAUGAUGCGAUGGCAGGACGAUCAGGUGAAGUGACCUUGAUAGCGCGGGACUAUGUUAAGCUUAUGUUUGACGUAAAACCACGAAUUAGUAUUAAUUGUUAUUGCUGAGAUAACUUUCUGGGCAGGGAGACGGGACACCAGUGAAUGCCGGAAAUGCACAGUAUGAUAUGAUUGAUAACUAAUGCGUAAACAGGUUGACAAAAAGCAAUAAAGCUUAAUAUAUCAUUACUUUUUCUUCUGUUUUUUUGAGGAGGUAACAUAACAUGAUAAUACGGAGGUGUUGCAAAAGUUUCCGUUUCGCUUCAAAUCCACCAAACCACAUGUACAUUGCAGUCCCUCUGGACAAAAGUGUACGAGGAGCUAAACUGGUUUCGACUUUUUAGGUCAGCGGGAAAUUCCAGAGCUCAAUGGGAAGCAUACACUGACCCUUCCCCUUUUGCACCGCUGCUCCCUUCGGGCUGAUAGGGAACAUACUUAUUCUUGGAAUAUUGUCAACGUCAGUAGGUCACCUGACCUCCGUAGUCAUUUGAAGUGCUAGGCCCAGACAGGAUUCAUUCGCCAUCGUCGGCGUCAAGACGUCCUCGUGUGAAAGACAACGCUUUUGUGUGUGUGUGUGUGUUUCUCCACAUAGAAAACUACAACAGUGAAACGUGUCCAGGUAGGGGAGUUAGAGUACGCUGACAAGCAAGAAGAAUGUUUGAUGAAUAUUUCUGACGACAAGACUGCGCUCCAGGAUGAAAUGGACGUUUUAAUAGAAGAAUGCAACAGGAAUUUGCUUGCACUUCCUGAGAAGGCGUUUGUGUGUGUGUUGUGUCGUGCGUUCUGUGUUCCAUGCCAUGUCGUCCAUCGAUAGGAACCAACUCGAUCGCAUCAGCGCUCUCUUGGAUUACCGCAAGACAAGCCCUCUCCUUCCAAAACGAAGUCACUCAGGCACACAGCGUAGGACGGGAGGAAUGGAAGGCGUCGCCCCCGGCUCUACUGAAAUCUAUUGGGACCAAAUUAAGUGAAUUGAAAUGCAAACGAAACCAUGGCAAUAAAAUUGUCCAUUGAAUCUUA